AUGCUGCUUGUGGUUUCUGCUGUGUUGACUGACAGAUCUGAGUCCUGCAUGCAGGAGGUUUUUGUACGGCCACUUAAUGACUUUGUAUCACUGUGGUUGACUUUUGGUGGAGGAACCAAACUCAUCUUGUACUCCGGCCCCAUGGUCAGGCCCUCAGUCUCUCUGCUUCCCCCCUCCUCUGAGCAGCUCUCUGGGGCCUCGGCCACGCUGGCCUGCCUGCUGAGCGGCUACGCUCCUCAGGGAGCCGUGGUGAGCUGGGAGGUGGACGGUACAGAGGUGACAGAGGGGGUCCUGAGCAGCUCAGAGGAGGAGAAGAGCGGACGCUACAGCCGCAGCAGCACCCUGAGCCUGAGCCAGGAGCGCUGGAUGAAAGGAGAGCUGUACUCCUGCAGGGUCCUCCAUCAUGACCACAGCCAGAUCCAGUCCCUCCGCAGGAGCAAGUGUUAG